rnacentral:rRNA from 1 species
AGAACGAACGCUGGCGGCAGGCUUAACACAUGCAAGUCGAGCGCCCAGCAAUGGGAGCGGCGGACGGGUGAGUAACACGUGGGAACAUGCCCUUUGGUACGGGACAACUCAGGGAAACUUGAGCUAAUACCGUAUGAGCCGGUAACGGGAAAGAUUUAUCGCCAAAGGAACGGCCCGCGUCCGAUUAGCUAGUUGGUGAGGUAAUGGCUCACCAAGGCUACGAUCGGUAGCUGGUCUGAGAGGAUGACCAGCAUCACUGGGACUGAGACACGGCCCAGACUCCUACGGGAGGCAGCAGUGGGGAAUAUUGGACAAUGGGCGCAAGCCUGAUCCAGCCAUGCCGCGUGGAUGAUGAAGGCCUUAGGGUUGUAAAGUCCUUUUAACGGGAAGAUAAUGACGGUACCCGUAGAAUAAGCCCCGGCUAACUUCGUGCCAGCAGCCGC